rnacentral:rRNA from 1 species
UACGGAAGGGGCAAGCGUUGUUCGGAAUUACUGGGCGUAAAGGGCGCGUAGGCGGCGACCCAAGUCAGAUGUGAAAGUCCUGGGCUUAACCUGGGGACUGCAUUUGAUACUGGGGUUGCUUGAAUUCGGGAGAGGGAUAGCGGAAUUCCAGGUGUAGCGGUAGAAAUGCGUAGAUAUCUGGAGGAACACCGGUGGCGAAGGCGGCAUCCUGGACCGGUAUUGACGCUGAGGCGCGAAAGCUAAGGGGAGCAAACGGGG